CCCAUUAGUGAACUUAUGGGGGGUUCACACAGAUUCCAAAAAAAAAAAAAUAUUAUAAUAAUGAAUAGUAAUGAACCUGUCUCUCCCAAGCUCUUCCCGGUGAACCUGGUUCAUCACUGUAGCGCGGGCCCCACGACACGUGGCGGCCCGCGAUUGGUCCGAUUAAUUAAUUUUUUUUUUUUUUAAAAAAAACAAAAAUCAAACAGUAAAAAAAAAUAAUAAAAAAAUACUUUGUGAACCCCUUUCAUGGGGUUCACUGAUGCACAUGCUCUAAGGCCAUGAAUAUUGGUUGGACUAAAAACAGAGUCCUUAGGAUAUUUUAAUCAUAUUUGUAGUUUAGGACAAUUAUAAGGACUUUGGUUAAUUUAUGUGAUUAUUAGUGGGACUUUUGUUUGGUCCUUAAGUUUUUUUUUUUUUUUGCUGAAACUUAAAUAUAGAAGAUAAAUCAAAUUGAAUAAUUAAUAAGAAAUCAAAUUUUAUUCAUUUAAUUAGAAAAUUUCAAACAUUUUAUUACAUUGCAAUUACAAAACAAACACAAAUAAAAAAAAGGAAACACACAUUUUAUUCAUUAUAUAGCAAUUUUAACCUUACCUUUAAUUUGGAAUAUGUCCAAAUUUAGCCCAUAUAUGUUCAACCAAAUCUUGUUUUAAUUGUUGAUGGGUAUGUGGAUUCCGAACUUCUUGCCGACGAGCAAUUGAACAGCCGGUAUUUUUUGAUCUUUUAACAGUAAAGUUUAAAUCCUCAUCUUCAAAUUCUUCCAGAGUGUUUGCAUCUUUUUCAUCUUCGACAAUCAUAUUAUGAAGUAUGAUACAUGCUUUCAUAAUAUUUCCAAUUUUUUCUUUAUCCCAUAACUUAGAAGGAUUUUUGACAACGGCAAAUCUUGCUUGCAAGACUCCGAAGGCACGCUCAACAUCUUUACGAACUGCUUCUUGGGUUGUAGCAAACUUUGUCUGCAUUUCAGUUUGAGGUAGCCGAAUAGAUUGAAUAAAAGUUGCCCAUUUAGGAUAUAUACCAUCUGCUAGAUAAUAUGCUAGAUGAUACUCUUUUCCGUUGACAUAAUAGUUGACUUGUGGCGCGAUGCCGUUAAUAACGUCAUCAAAAACAGGCGAUCGAUCAAGAAUAUUAAGAUCGUUCAUAGUACCUGGAGCUCCAAAGAAUGCAUGCCAUAUCCAGAGGUCAUACGAAGCGACAGCCUCCAAGACAAUAGUUGGUUUUCCGGUUCCGCGUGAAUACAUUCCUUUCCAAGCGGUGGGACAAUUCUUCCACUCCCAAUGCAUACAGUCGAUGCUUCCAAUCAUUCCCGGAAAUCCACGUUCCUCGUUCUCAUAUAGAAGUCUUUGCAGAUCCUCCGGUGUGGGAUGUCGUAGGUAUUCAUCGCCAAACAAGGAGAUGAUUCCCGCGGUAAAAUUGUGCAAACAUUUUCGAGCAGUUGUAGCAGCUAGACGUAUAUACUCGUCUACCAUAUCGGCCGCACCACCAUAUGCCAAUUGUCGAAUUGCUGCCGUACAUUUUUGUAGAGGUGAAAGACUUCCUCGUCCGGUUGCAUCUUCUGACGGUCGGAAAUACGGAAUUUCUGUGGAGAGGCGAUGCACAAUACGGAGGAACAAAUUUUUAUUCAUCCUAAACCGUCUCCGGAAUAAACUAGUAGAAUAUGUCGGAUUGUCGGAAAAAUAAUCAUUCCAAAGCUGGUUGUGGCCUUCCUCUCGAUGUCUCUCAAUAAAAAUACGCUUUUUCCUCUCUUUUGGUUCUGGUAUAGGAUCAUACUCCUCUAAAAAUUCCUCAAUGUGGGUAUCGAAAUCAUCAUUAUCAUCAUCUCUGUGGUAAUGAUAAUGAGAUGAAGAUGCCAUUAAGGAUAAAUCAAGAGAUGUGGUUGUGAUAGUUUAGAAAAUGAGGGAAACCAAAGAGAAGAGAGAUUUGAGUAUUUGUUUUGACAAGAAGAAACUCAUAUUUAUAAGCUACAAUCUUUAUAACUCCGUGACUUGAUAAUGAAAGAUACAAUGACAUGUGAUGGAAAAUCUUGUCACGGGUUAUUACAUUUGCUAUUAACAAUCACAUGGAAACAACAAUCUUGUCACGGGUUAUUUCAAGUCUUAAGAGUUCAUGUGAUUGGUAGGUGUAAAAAACGUGUGUUUGGUAGGUGAAAAAAACGUAUUAUUUGAUCCAUCAUACUUUUCGACAAUCAUGUAAGAACAAUAGAUUCUGACAUCAUUAGAAAUACAUAAUCCAAGCAUCACCAAACAUGGAUAGAAAUUAGAAAUUUUAAUGUAUCACAGAUUGUAUACAUUACAAACAUGGAUCUAAGUUCAUACACAUUACUAGCAUUCCUAAUUAAAUACUACAAACAUGGAUACUACCAUUACUAGAAGAACCAUAACACCUAGACCGAGCUCAAACCCAUGACAUUUUUUGGCCAAAUCAGAGACAGUUUUCUCAAGCAUAGUCACCUUCAGCUCCGUCUGGUAAUGGAGAUCUUUUACCUGGUUUAGUUCAGACUCGUAGUCACUAACACCGGCAAUAUAAUCAAUCUUAUCUGAUAGCAGAGCAUACUGUGUACCUAAAGCUUUGAUCUCCUCUGUAGCCGCUUCCUCCCAGCACUUGUAUACAUGGCAGUCUCCAUCGUCGAUGUUCUCACAUGAGUAGAACCUUCUCCCCGUGAUAGAUGUCCUAAGAACCGGUUCUCCACCGCAGUAGCAUUCCCUGGGGAAGCCGAACUCAACCUCCGGCUGCGGAGGGUACUGAACACGCGAAGCUUCAAUCUCUGCUUGGUCGAGCAUAAUAUUCAUUUCUGUUGAGCAGUGUUCACUCUCUGUUGUGUUCCCUAAACCAUAAUCAUCCGACUGAGACGGCUGCGUGUAGCUAUAAUCCAAACCCAUGACCUGAGCAAACAUUAAAACAGGACACACCACGCGAGAUGAUUUCAUUAGUUAAAACUUAAGAUCACAUAUAACACAAGCUCAUAAAACAUAAGAGAAGCAUUAUCAUUAGUUAAAACAUAACAUCACAUAUAACACAAGCACAUAAAACAUAAACCACGACAUAAGCUACAUUUUCAUACAUAUUAAACAAGACAGAGACAGGUUCACAACGGCUUAAGAGGAAUUCUUAAUUAGAAAAACUAGAAGAGUUCGGCCAAGAGCUUGUUCAUUACGGUUUCUUGACUCUCACUUAGUGGACUGGUCUUAGCAAGGAGAGUAUCUAAUAUCGCCAUCUUAGACAGCUUCUCCUUCCUAGCCAAAUCUUCACACUUGAGCUCGUAGAUGCUCUUAUAGUCCUCAAUAGCCUUCCCUUUACUACUAUUCCUGCUUGAUUUGGCAGCUUUGAUACCUUCAGGACGCACUGGUGCUUGUGGACUCUCCUCACCUACAUGAGCGCCGGCAGUUUCAGAAUUCACUUCACCACUCUUUCUCUUUGCACCGGUGGGCGUAGGGGUGUUAAGGCUUAUCCACUUUUGCUCGUGCCGCAGGACACACCACGCGUGCUCGAGGUUAAACUUGUGACCCUGAUCAGCGUAGAAGAUUUGAUGAGCCACAUUUAGUAAGUCAUUGUCACUCUGGCCGCUGGUUAUUUGUCUCUCUGCAGCAGAGAAUGCGGCACAGAACUUGUUCGUUUGAUCAUUGAUUCUGUGCCACCUCUGCUUGCAGUGAACAUUCUCUAUCUUCUCAUGAAGAGUUUCUGCAACAAACUCAUCAACGCGUUUCCAAAAGGUCUUUAACUUCAUAGAAUUUCCGACAACAGCGUCCUUUGAUGUGUUAAGCCACGCACUAAUCACCGCCUCGUCGUCACGCGGCGUCCAUUUCCUUCUCACACGUUCCACAGGUGUGUCCUGAGGUUGGGAUGGACCGUCAGGCUCUUGGGAACUGAAGGGAGGGUUUUCAGAGGCGCCAAUGUCGACACUGGAAGGAUAACUUUCAUAAGGAAAGUUAUCCUGAACAUUGUUAUUCUGAAGGUUGUUAAGAAGCCCCACAUAACCAGAGUUUGGCCUAUAUGGAUUCCUUGGAUCCAUUGGAAGAAGAAGAGAAGAGAUUAUAGAGAAUGAGAAGAGAUUUUAGAGAAUGAGAACAGAUUAGAGAGAAGGGAAAGACGAUUUGGAGAUUUAAUAGGGGAAACUUUAACAAGUAAUAACUCCAAAACCAACUAACCAUUAUCUACCUAUGUCUAAUCAAGGAGUUAUUACUAUACUACAAGUACGAAAGCUAUCAGCUCUGCUAGAUUAAUGGAUCAUUAAAUUUUACUACGAAAGCUAUCAGCUCUACUACAACUACAAAACCUAUAGAAGUCUAGAUGGAACAACAAGCCAAGCAGACAACACCAUUUCGUUAAAGUAACUUCUUAACCAAACUAUAUAAAUAUUUUUAAAACUUGUUUUUUUUUUUUUGAACUUGUCAGCUCUCUUGCACAAUCGUUUACAGUGUGAUUAACUACAACAGUUAUAAGAGUGAUCAAUAAGUUUAGUUACUUCAAUACAUAUUAACAAGUGUUUCGUAAGCUAUCAAAAACCUACAAACCAUUUAACCUAUCAUCUCUACGUAAAUACAAAUCUAAAACAGAGCUAUCGAGGACACAAUAACAAAGACAAUUGUUGAUACGAUACAACUACCAAGCUAUGAACGAUCAUCAUCAUCAUUCAAUAAAGAGACAGAAUGUAAUAUACUUAACUUAUCAUCACAACAAAGAUUCACACGAAUACUUAACUUAUCAUCACAACAAUACAGAAACUGAACCUAAUCAACAGAACAUAUAAUCAAAAUAUAGAAUCGAUAACAGCCUCUGUAAUCUACCAAACAAAUCCUCACAACUAAAAUCGAAGAACCCAUAAGGCGGAGGAAGUAGAUCGAUAACGACAAAGGAACACAUACCUUUUUAACUGAAAACAAACGGCAGGGAAUGGGCUUAGAGACAGGCUCCGGAAUGACUCGUGAGGGCUUCGUGACCGAUUCGGGGGAGAUGAGAGGAGAGAUGAGAGGAGAAAACAGCGAGCACGUCGUCGGUGUACUAUCGCCACAUGAGUCGCCAGAGAGAGAAUCAGAAGACGGUGAGAUCGAUAGACUGAAACGAAACGAGGGUUUCCCCUACCCGACGACGCCGUUUCAUCUCCACUCGACAGCUGGCAACGAAGGACGACAUUUAGAUCGACCUUAGUUAAGGCUCGUCCCGCAUAAUUAAACCCAUUUUCUAUUUAUUUUUCGGCCCAAAAUUGCUAAGGACCCAUAUUUGGACCACCGAUAACUAUGGCCUAAGGUUCUUGUUUUCGCUAUAUAAAUAUGACCAAAGAAAAAGCUAUGAAUUAUAAAAGAACUAAAGAAAACUAUAACCUAGUAACAUAAUCUGGACAUAUGGGUCGUCACUCCUCAGUCCUCGCUAAUCAUUAAAGAAGUCAUUCGAUCAUUUUAUGGGGACAGCUAGCAUAUAAAACAAAACAAGACGAAUAUUUUUUUUGUUUUGGUAAUCAACAAGACGAAUAUUUGUUCAUUAUUAUUUACAUAAUUUUAAGUUUUAUAUAUCCUUC
rnacentral:lncRNA from 1 species